GUGACCUACGGGACGCAGCAGUGAGGAAUAUUGGUCAAUGGGCGCGAGCCUGAACCAGCCAAGUCGCGUGAGGGAAGACGGUCCUAUGGAUUGUAAACCUCUUUUGUCGGGGAGCAAAAGACGCCACGCGUGGCGUUCCGAGAGUACCCGAAGAAAAAGCAUCGGCUAACUCUGUGCCAGCAGCCGCGGUAAUACGGAGGAUGCGAGGGUUAUCCGGAUUUAUUGGGUUUAAAGGGUGCGCAGGCUGAAGAUCAAGUCAGCGCUAAAAUUGAGAGGCUCAACCUCUUCGAGCC
rnacentral:rRNA from 1 species